rnacentral:rRNA from 1 species
UACGAAGGGGGCUAGCGUUGUUCGGAUUUACUGGGCGUAAAGCGCACGUAGGCGGUUCGUUAAGUCGGGGGUGAAAUCCUGGAGCUCAACUCCAGAACUGCCUUCGAUACUGGCGAUCUUGAGUCCGGAAGAGGUGAGUGGAACUCCUAGUGUAGAGGUGGAAUUCGUAGAUAUUAGGAAGAACACCAGUGGCGAAGGCGGCUCACUGGUCCGGUACUGACGCUGAGGCGCGAAAGCGUGGGGAGCAAACAGG